AUUGAACGCUGGCGGCAUGCCUUACACAUGCAAGUCGAACGGCAGCACGGGAGCAAUCCUGGUGGCGAGUGGCGAACGGGUGAGUAAUGUAUCGGAACGUACCUUUCAGUGGGGGAUAACGUAGCGAAAGUUACGCUAAUACCGCAUAUUCUGUGAGCAGGAAAGCAGGGGAUCGCAAGACCUUGCGCUGAUUGAGCGGCCGAUAUCAGAUUAGCUAGUUGGUGAGGUAAAGGCUCACCAAGGCGACGAUCUGUAGCGGGUCUGAGAGGAUGAUCCGCCACACUGGAACUGAGACACGGUCCAGACUCCUACGGGAGGCAGCAGUGGGGGAAUUUU
rnacentral:rRNA from 1 species